AUUGAACGCUGGCGGCAGGCCUAACACAUGCAAGUCGAGCGGAUGACGGGAGCUUGCUCCUUGAUUCAGCGGCGGACGGGUGAGUAAUGCCUAGGAAUCUGCCUGGUAGUGGGGGACAACGUUUCGAAAGGAACGCUAAUACCGCAUACGUCCUACGGGAGAAAGCAGGGGACCUUCGGGCCUUGCGCUAUCAGAUGAGCCUAGGUCGGAUUAGCUAGUAGGUGAGGUAAUGGCUCACCUAGGCGACGAUCCGUAACUGGUCUGAGAGGAUGAUCAGUCACACUGGAACUGAGACACGGUCCAGACUCCUACGGGAGGCAGCAGUGGGGAAUAUUGGACAAUGGGCGAAAGCCUGAUCCAGCCAUGCCGCGUGUGUGAAGAAGGUCUUCGGAUUGUAAAGCACUUUAAGUUGGGAGGAAGGGUUGUACGUUAAUACCGUGCAAUUUUGACGUUACCGACAGAAUAAGCACCGGCUAACGCUGUGCCAGCCGCCGCGGUAACAC
rnacentral:rRNA from 1 species